rnacentral:rRNA from 1 species
UGGGGAAUAUUGCACAAUGGGGGAAACCCUGGUGCAGCCAUGCCGCGUGUGUGAAGAAGGCCUUCGGGUUGUAAAGCACUUUCAGUAGGGAGGAAAGGUAGCAGCUUAAUACGCUGUUGCUGUGACGUUACCUACAGAAGAAGGACCGGCUAACUCCGUGCCAGCAGCCGCGGUAAUACGGAGGGUCCGAGCGUUAAUCGGAAUUACUGGGCGUAAAGCGUGCGCAGGCGGUUUGUUAAGCGAGAUGUGAAAGCCCCGGGCUCAACCUGGGAAUUGCAUUUCGAACUGGCGAACUAGAGUCUUGUAGAGGGGGGUAGAAUUCCAGGUGUAGCGGUGAAAUGCGUAGAGAUCUGGAGGAAUACCGGUGGCGAAGGCGGCCCCCUGGACAAAGACUGACGCUCAGGCACGAAAGCGUGGGGAGCAAACAGGAUUAGAUACCCUGGUAGUCCACGCCGUAAACGAUGUCUACUCGGAGUUUGGUGUCUUGAACACUGGGCUCUCAAGCUAACGCAUUAAGUAGACCGCCUGGGGAGUACGGCCGCAAGGUUA